rnacentral:lncRNA from 1 species
GGAACUUAUCGGGGCCAGCCGGCAACUAAAUGCCACGCUGAUCCCAGGAGAUAGCCAACUGAGGUUUUUUCACAGAAGUCUAUUUAGAAGCCUGCGACAGACUGCCCUGCCAGCGGCUCCACUUACCUCAGGCAAAGCACUGGUGGCUCCAUCAGAUCAGGUUUGGAAUCACACAUCAGUUGGAGGAUAAAGAUCCCCACUGUAUUUAGUGGCAGACACCUUCUGAAGACAAAUACCUCGUCAGCUACAGAGACGAUGCCUUGCCAGCCUCUCUUGUCCCUGACGGCCGAUUAUCACACCAUGUGAGCAGCUCAGGUUCCUCUGUGUAUCUGUUUCCUGAAUACCGUCUCCUUCUAUAAAACACUGGCAGGGUAAGUACUUCACCUCCCUUCUCCUUUAGAAAGCUUGGAUGCCGUUCAAAUGAUGGCGUGGGAUAAAGGGGAAAUAGGCUGCUGCUUUAAAGAUGGAAUGGUUAGCCUUCCUAAUGAGAAAUACUUGUCAUUCUUUUGCUUCAGAUUGUUGCAACUCACAUUCCUGUAGCAGAGUUCCUUCACUUUGCAGAGUGAAACCCUUCCCCUUACAGUAUAUGUAGUAUAUGUGUGUACAGACAGUGUGUGUACUGGCAUCCCUUCUCUAUUGCUCUCCCCAUUAAUGUUACUAAUGGCGUAACCAGGAAUGGAGGUGGAUGCAUUUAAUUCCAGUACUUGGGAGGCAAAGGCGCUUGAAGUCAGCCUGCUGAGCUCCACCAUAGUCAGGACUUCACAGAGAAACCCUAUCUUGAAAAAAACCAAAACCAAAAAGCUUAUGUGUAUAUGCAAGGUGCAUAUCUAUCUGUGUGCUGACGCCCAUGGAGAAGCAGCAUCAGACGGUAUGGAGCUGUGAGCCUCCUGUUGGUGCUAGGAUCUGGACUUUUGUGGACUUUGGUACCUCUCUUAGAGCAGAAAGCUUUUAACUCCUGACCUGUCUGUCUAUCCAGGCCCUCUACUUUUGCUGUUGUUGGGGUAAGGCCUUUUAAUGAACCUGGAGUCUGCCAUGUUGGCUACCCUUGCUGGGCAGCAAGCCUCAGAAGUCUAUGUCUGCCUCCGCAGAGCUGGGUUAUAGGUGCACACUCUUCACACCCCGCUUUCUCUGUUGGAGGCAGUGCAGGUCCUCGUGUGUGUCCAGCUUCACUUACUGAGACACCUAUCUUCCUGGCUCCAAAUCCCACUGAUCUCUUUUUAAUAAGGCUGGCCGUCACCCUUCUCUAUUGAGUCCUGUCCUCUUCUGGUUUUACCAUUUAAGGAAAGCUGCCUCCACUCUCAGGAAUUCUGUGGUGUUUAUAAUUUACUCUCUCUCUCUCUCUCUGGAGAAUGAUUUUGAUCAAAUUUUUUAACUUUUCUUUGUAACAUCGAUGUUUUAUUUUCUAAUCCCCCCCCCGUCCCCCCGUCCCCCAACAGUUUCUUAAACUUCAUUUGGUUGGUGUCACAGUCAUCCAGUGGAGACCACAACCACCGGUUCAUUUUGCACAGGCCACUGAGCAGUCAUAAGAUGGUGACAACUUUGGGUCUUUAGUGACCUGGACUGGAUUCGACUCACUGACCUAGAGGUGAAAGGCUCUGUAUUUCAUUACUAAUCCCUUGAGCCAUCCAGCCCCCUGAAAAUGAUUCUUUGGUUUUAUUAUUGCAAAGACCAUUUAUAAAAUCAUGGACUGGAUUUAGGAAAGCAACCAUGAAAUAGCAAGGGACAACAAAAUUGAUUGAAACUUCUUAAAUGUUGUGUGGGCUGGAGACUCUCAGACAGGAGGAGGGGAAGAAGUUCUAUAGAGGCAUCUCCUUCCUUACUCCAGGAGUGCGACCUGCUCACUUAGACGUGGCAACUUCAGACCCACAGACCAUGCCUCAGGGAAUUAAUUCCUAAAUAAAGAAAAUGGAAAAGCAAACUACGAAACAGCCAAUAAUCUUUAUUUUGCACUUCCCCCAUCCUUUGUCUUCUCCAAAAAGCACUAAUGGGUAUACUUGUGCAUGUGAAAAUAUUGUAUAAAGUAUUCAGGAUGAUCUCUAAUAAAUC